rnacentral:rRNA from 1 species
AACCUGGUUGAUCCUGCCAGUAGUCAUAUGCUUGUCUCAAAGAUUAAGCCAUGCAUGUGUAAGCACACACUGUUUUAAAAGUGAAGCCGCGAAUGGCUCAUUACAACAGCCACAGUUUAUUAGAACUUACAAUCAUGGAUAACUGUGGUAAUUCUAGAGCUAAUACACGCACAAAAACUUCAACUGAAUUGGUUGAAGUGCUUUUAUUAGAACAAAAACCGAACGGCGUUUGACGAAUGUUGAACGUCGAAACUGUUUGGUGAAUCUGAAUAACUAUUUCUGAUCGCAUGGUCUAGCACCGGCGACAUCACUUUCAAGUGUCUGCCUUAUCAACCUUCGAUGGUAGUCUAUGCGACUACCAUGGUGAUAACGGGUAACGGAGAAUCAGGGUUCGACUCCGGAGAGGGAGCCUGAGAAACGGCUACCACAUCCAAGGAAGGCAGCGGGCGCGCAAAUUACCCACUCCCAGCUUGGGGAGGUAGUGACGAAAAAUAACGAGACGAUUCUCGUUUGAGAAACGUUAUCGAAAUGAGUACGCUUUACACACGCUAACGAGUAGCAAUUGGAGGGCAAGUCUGGUGCCAGCAGCCGCGGUAAUUCCAGCUCCAAUAGCGUAUAUUAAAGUUGCUGCGGUUAAAACGCUCGUAGUUGAAUUGUGGUCUUAGACAACAGUCCCCCUACAAAGGUGUGGCACGGUUGCUCGAGAUCUUCAUUCGUGGUUGCUGUUGUUGCUCUUCAUUGAGUGUCAAUGGUGCCUCGAGAUUUUACUUUGAAAAAAUUAGAGUGCUCAAAGCAGGUUGUGAUGCCUGAAUAAUGGUGCAUGGAAUAAUAGAAUACGAUCUCGGUUCUAUUUUGUUGGUUUUCGAACCGGAGGUAAUGAUUGAAAGGAACAGACGGGGGCAUUCGUAUUGCUGCGUUAGAGGUGAAAUUCUUGGAUCGCAGCAAGAUGAACAAUUGCGAAAGCAUUUGCCAAGAAUGUUUUCAUUAAUCAAGAACGAAAGCUAGAGGUUCGAAGGCGAUCAGAUACCGCCCUAGUUCUAACGGUAAACUAUGCCAACCAGCGAUUCGCCGAAGUUCAUUUAAGACUCGGCGAGCAGCUUCCGGGAAACCAAAGUGUUUCGGUUCCGGGGGAAGUAUGGUUGCAAAGCUGAAACUUAAAGGAAUUGACGGAAGGGCACCACCAGGAGUGGAGCCUGCGGCUUAAUUUGACUCAACACGGGAAAACCCACCCGGCCCGGACACUGGAAGGAUUGACAGAUUGACAGCUCUUUCUUGAUUCAGUGGGUAGUGGUGCAUGGCCGUUCUUAGUUGGUGGAGCGAUUUGUCUGGUUAAUUCCGAUAACGAACGAGACUCUACCCUAUUAAAUAGUGACAGUAUUGUAUUCUUUGUGCUGAUCACUUCUUAGAGGGACUGGCAAAUUGAAAGCUGCACGAAAAAGAGCAAUAACAGGUCUGUGAUGCCCUUCGAUGUCCGGGGCUGCACGCGCGCUACAAUGAAAGCGUCAACGUGAGUUACGUCCUUACCUGAAAAGGUUUGGCAAUCGAAUGAAACGUUUUCUUGAAUGGAAUAGGGAAUUGCAAUUGUUUCCCUUGAACGAGGAAUUCCCAGUAAGCGUGAGUCAUUAGCUCGCGUUGAUUACGUCCCUGCCCUUUGUACACACCGCCCGUCGCUACUACCGAUUGGAUGAUUUAGUGAGGUGUUUUGACUGGCGCCAGUAGUCGGAUAUGUAUUCGGCUUCGCGCCGGGAAAUUUCCCAAACCAAAUCAUCUAGAGGAAGUAAAAGUCGUAACAAGGUUUCCGUAGGUGAACCUGCGGAAGGAUCAUUA